AUUGAUUAUUGUUCCUAAUAACUUGGCAAGUGGACCGAAAUAUCUUCAUGUACUCUGAUGAUUUUCCAAUUGAAUUUGAUCCAAUGCCAAGUGCUUGCUACUAAAAGCGUUUAGCUUUAAAGAUCAAGUUAACAAAAAGACGAAGACAAUUUUAUUAGAAUUUCUUAUUUUGUUGUAUUAGAGUACAAUGAAAUAUAAACCUUUGACAUAUAAGCACUCCAUUCGAAUGAUUGUUCAAAAAGAUACCUUUCUUUUUCAUCUUUUUGCUCAAGUGCUUGUAAUGUUUGCAUUAUUCUAAAAUACCGGUGUGUUUUAUGAUUCGUU